rnacentral:rRNA from 1 species
CUACCGCUAUUGGAGUUCGAUUAAGCCAUGCGAGUCGCGAGAAAUUAGAUUCUCGGCGUACCGCUCAGUAACACGUGGGUAACCUGCCCUAUGCUGGAUAAUAACCUCGGGAAACUGAGUAUAAUGAUCCAUAGUUCACUACGCCUGGAACGGUGAGUGGGCGAAAGCUCCGGCGGCAUAGGAUGGGCCUGCGGCGUAUCAGGUUGUAGGGGGUGUAACGUACCCUCUAGCCCUCUACGCGUACGGGUGUUGGGAGACAUAGCCCGGAGAUGGAUUCUGAGACACGAAUCCAGACCCUACGGGGUGCAGCAGGCGCGAAAACUUGGCAAUGCGAGAAAUCGUGACCAGGGAACUCCAAGUGCAUCGGGUAAGACCGGUGCUUUUCUUGACUCUAAAUAGGUCUUGGAAUAAGGGGUGGGUAAGGACGGUGCCAGCCGCCGCGGUAAUACCGGCGCCUCAAGUGGUAGUCGCUUUUAUUGGGCCUAAAACGUCCGUAGCCGGUCUGAUACAUUCGUGGGUAAAUCAACCAGCUCAACUGGUUGAAUUCUGCGAGGACGGUCAGACUUGGGACCGGGAGAGGUGUGGGGUACGCUCAGGGUAGGGGUAAAAUCCUGUCAUCCUGAGCGGACCACCUGUUGCGAAGGCGCCACACUAGAACGGAUCCGACGGUCAGGGACGAAGCCUAGGGGCACGAACCGGAUUAGAUACCCGGGUAGUCCUAGGUGUAAACGCUGUGGACUUGAUGUUGGGGGUGCUCCGAGCACUCUCAGUGUCGAAGCGAA